AGCGAACGCUGGCGGCGUGCUUAACACAUGCAAGUCGAGUGCGUAGCCCUUUGUAGCAAUACAGAGGGUGGGCGCACGGCGCACGGGUGAGUAACACGUGGGUAACCUGCCCUUCGGUGGGAAUAACCCCGCGAAAGCGGGGCUAAUUCCGCAUAACAUUCCGGGGACACAUGUUCUCGGACUCAAAGGAGUGAUUCGCCGGAGGAGGGGCCCGCGCCCGAUUAGCUUGUUGGUAGGGUAACGGCCACCAAGGCUUUGAUCGGUAGCCGGUCUGAGAGGAUGGCCGGCCACACUGGAACUGAGACACGGUCCAGACUCCUACGGGAGGCAGCAGUGGGGAAUCUUGCGCAAUGGGCGAAAGCCUGACGCAGCGACGCCGCGU
rnacentral:rRNA from 1 species